UACAGAGGUCUCAAGCGUUGUUCGGAUUCAUUGGGCGUAAAGGGUGUGUAGGUGGCGCCGUAAGUCGGGUGUGAAAUUUCGGAGCUUAACUCCGAAACUGCAUUCGAUACUGCGGUGCUUGAGGACUGGAGAGGAGACUGGAAUUCAUGGUGUAGCAGUGAAAUGCGUAGAGAUCAUGAGGAAGACCAGUGGCGAAGGCGGGUCUCUGGCCAGUUCCUGACACUGAGACACGAAGGCCAGGGGAGCAAACGGG
rnacentral:rRNA from 1 species